rnacentral:rRNA from 1 species
UAUGGACAAUGGGGCAACCCUAGAUCCAUGCAAUGCCGCGUGUGUGAAGAAGUGCUUUCGGGUUGUAAAGCACUGUAAAGUCACUUUGUCCGGAAGAGACGUUCGUGGCUAAUACCCGUGGCGGAAUGACGGUACCGGAAGAAUAAGCACCGGCUAACUACGUGCCAGCAGCCGCGGUAAUACGUAGGGUGCAAGCGUUAAUCGGAAUUACUGGGCGUAAAGCGUGCGCAGGCGGUUCGCUAAGACAGAUGUGAAAUCCCCGGGCUUAACCUGGGAACUGCAUUUGUGACUGGCGGGCUAGAGUAUGGCAGAGGGGGGUAGAAUUCCACGUGUAGCAGUGAAAUGCGUAGAGAUGUGGAGGAAUACCGAUGGCGAAGGCAGCCCCCUGGGCCAAUACUGACGCUCAUGCACGAAAGCGUGGGGAGCAAACAGGAUUAGAUACCCUGGUAGUCCACGCCCUAAACGAUGUCAACUGGUUGUCGGGCCUUCAUUGGCUUGGUAACGUAGCUAACGCGUGAAGUUGACCGCCUGGGGAGUACGGUCGCAAGAUUAAAACUCAAAGGAAUUGACGGGGACCCGCACAAGCGGUGGAUGAUGUGGAUUAAUUCGAUGCAACGCGAAAAACCUUACCUACCCUUGACAUGUACGGAACCCUGCUGAGAGGUGGGGGUGCCCGAAAGGGAGCCGUAACACAGGUGCUGCAUGCAUCGACCGUCGUCAGCUCGUGUCGUCCCGAAAGGGAGCCGUAACACAGGUGCUGCAUGGCGUGUCGCUCAGCUCGUGUCGU